UAAAGACAGCUUUAUUACCUAUCAGGGAAGGAACAAUGUAAAAAUGCAUAAAUUGAACAUAGUCCACCAAAUUAAAUUCACCCUGGCUGCAGCAAAUUGAAAUUAUAUGAAACUUCAGCAAGGCACUUCUAUUUUUCUCACAUUGUCCAAUCUUAUUUACACACAAUGUUUAGUAUUUGGGCAAGUGUUCAAUAAAUAUCAGCCAAUAUGACCCAGUGCAGAAACUCCUAUCUAUAAGAGGUAUGAAUCCUGCUCUUUUGGCCUUCAAACAGGAAGUGGUUUAGACCCUCAAACCAGUACUGAGUUUCCUGUUAAAGCAUCUCUUCUUUUGGACAUUUUUUUUUAUUACUUAAGAUGUGUUAUUGUCAUUUCAUGCUGUAGAAGAAAUUAUAGUAACACAUAUUACAGUAAAUAACAGUAAAACAUUUGCCACGUAAAUUUAAUAAAAACAGAAAACUAAGACUAUGUAACAAAUGAGACAAACAUAUCAAUAUUCUAUUUUACUGUUUCAUUGUACAAAUAUUUAUAAUGCAUAUGUUGUAUGGGGCAACAUAAUGUGAAAGCAGAAUAGCUAUUAAGUUUCAGACACAUUUAGCCUGUGUUCUAAAGAUUAAGUGAAACAAAUUCUUUGAAAUUCUGUACUUUCAGAGGUUUCACAUGCAUUAUAUUAUAUUUUUCCUUUCUUUUACCAAAAUGAUUGAGGUAUGACCUACGUACAGAAAAGAGAUAACUUUGUAAGAAAAACUAUACAAAUAAGUGCUAGUGGCUUGCCUAGUCUGUAGUUUUAAACACAGUUAAGACAUUUAGAUCAUGUAUUCCAACCUCCUGUAUUCACAUCCUCCCCUUCACAACCAUUUUGCCCAAAUAGCUUAUGCUAAGGCUAACAAAUUGAGUCAAACAAAAACAUCUCAUCAGUUUUGUGCUGAAGCAACUGCCUUCUCUCAGCAGCAAACAGCAAAGACCCAGGUUCCACCACAGCCCGGGGCUCUUUGACUAGCGCAGAGCUCAUUAAGUAAGAAAUGUUCCAAGGAUCUGAAAGAGAUGAAUCAUAACCCAUGACAAGGAAAAUCAUAAGUAAAUAAACAACUUCUCAUGGACAAACACAAACCAAGGAAACAUUAAAAACCUAGUCCAGCCUGAUCGGCAGAAAAGAAAAUGUAUUUUUGGUCUGAUCAGUUUGAGCUCUGGCAUAUGGAUAAAUACCAACCCAUGUCAUACAAUUAAGAUUCUUUGUACCAUUUUUGAUCCCUUAACCUGGCAUAUAUUGAACUGUCUGCAGCUACAAAAUAAGAUCUAGCCAAACAAAGAAUUUAAAAAAUACAUCUGUCGCUCGUAAAGUGAAAUUAAAAGUGAUUAAUUUGCUCUUGCACAUAAGUGCCUAAAAUAAUCAGGCAUGUUAUGUUUGAUCAUAGUAAUUGCCAUGUUUUUCUUGAGUCCAAAGCAAAAUGUAUUGCAUGAAAAUAGUUUCUAAAGUAUGUUCUCUUUUUUCUAGAGGAAUGUAAAGUAGAGAAGACUUCCCCAAAAUGGAAAAUAAAAUGUCAACAUCAAGAAAAGAGUUGUGAUCACAUGACGCAUCUCCAUUUCUGUUUUCCUUCCAGUAGUUUGACUUCUUUUCCUUAUGAAAGAACCACAAUCUGGUUACAAAAACUACAAAUGAUGCUGUAUAUCCUGCCUUUUUACAGAUACCUCAAAAAAGAUAAGCAUUUUUCAAAUUUUCAUCUGUGGAAAGGAUCUUCGUUUCAUCUUGCAGCUCAAACUUGCUUCCACUGGAUUGUACCAUAAUGUUUUGCCUGCACAUGUGAAUACAGACCCAGAUAAGCAAAUAGGAAGAAAUUACUCACCUUAGACCAAGUUGUGACUCCUGAGGGAUCUUGCUUUAGGAGUAACUGACAAAGAACAGCUUCAUAUUGUACACAAUGUUUUAAUCCAUUCCUUAGACCUUGUAUUUAUCUUUUGUCAUUUAAGCUUUUGGCUGAAACACAAAACUGUGAUAUCAAGCAAUGUACUACAGAAGUCUAGUACAAUGUAACACUGAUUUUGACCAAACUUAAAAUCUCAAUAAAAUAACUGGUUAUUUUGACAAGAUAACAUUAAAUGAUCCUCUAAACAUUCUUUUGAUUGCUUAUUGAGAAUUACCCAGCAUUGAGUGUAUUAUUUACCAUGUCAGAUGUCUAACUGCUUAAGAUUUAAGAAAAUGUACCUAGAAUAAGAUGGCUCUUCACUCUCUUUUUUCAAAACUAUCAUUAGAAACAUUAACUUUAUUGCAAUUUCUGAAAAUGUUCAUGGUUUCUCCAAAUUAUUAGAAAGCAGCCCAUGCAGAUUGUAGAUAUGACUUUAAAUGAUCUAAAAGAUCCGUAUUAUCUGAAAAACUCCUACCAGACAACAGGUUAUAAUAGAACCUAUUUAAUAAUGUACCUAGACACAGAUGGGAAUAAUAAAAGAAAAUAGUAAUAGUCAUAUGGAAAAUACAUAUAACCUAUCUUUUUUGUCCAAAUGCAGAAAUUGAUUAUUUGUCAAACCUAUCCCUAAUUUUCACCCCACUCCAGUCAGGAAGAGCUAGGUUGUUUUCAGCAGAUUAUAAAUGGACUUUUAGAUAACAUGGAUCAUUUUGACAGAGGAUGAGGUGAGCAUUGGGAACAGUAAACUGUGGAAAAGCAUAUGUGGUCCAGCCAUAACCAGUGUUGACCCUGUGAGAUGCUGGCCUAGAGUUCCAAAAGCUGAACUUAGCCCAUGACGUUUAGAAGCAAGGACAGGCUUUUCAAUGAGCUCCCUAAUUAUAAAUACACAGAGAAGGCAAAGAAGGGAAAAAAGAUGUGAGUGCAAUCAGACCAAUUCCAGUUACAGCAAUUCUUCUUAACAUCUCAAAAAAGUCAGGGUGAGAGUGUUAGAAACAAAAGAAAAUAACAACAGAGAUUAAAGCAGCAAGCAGUUGAGUAACAGACACAAAACUAAAAAUAUAAGUGAUACUCAUGACUAGAAGAUGUCACAUUCUGCUUUUGAAAUACUGCCCCACAUCAUACAGGCCUUGUGAGCCAUGUGAAACCUGUAAUCAAAUUAAUAAGAAUAGUAAAUUCUCUUUUGUUUUUUUAUCCCCUUAACUCAUAUGUAUUUAUUUAGGAGUUUUGGGUUUUUUUCCCCCAAAUCAAUCCAUUUAGUAGGUGGAACAGCCCAUCAUUUUCUUUUCUUUUUGUUUUUUUCCAGGGAGAAUUAGGCUUUCUGAAGUGAUCCAAGCUAAAGGGUCUCAAAUCAGGCACACAACAAGUGAAAUUAAUGGUUUU